rnacentral:rRNA from 1 species
UACGUAGGGGGGCAAGCGUUGUCCGGAUUUAUUGGGCGUAAAGAGCGUGUAGGCGGCCAUGCAGGUCCGUUGUGAAAACUCGAGGCUCAACCUCGAGACGUCGAUGGAAACCGCAUGGCUAGAGUCCGGAAGAGGAGAGUGGAAUUCCUGGUGUAGCGGUGAAAUGCGCAGAUAUCAGGAAGAACACCCGUGGCGAAGGCGGCUCUCUGGGACGGUACUGACGCUGAGACGCGAAAGCGUGGGGAGCGAACAGG